CUAGGAAUCUUGGGAAUGGGCGAAAGCCUGACCCAGCAACGCCGCGUGGGCGAUGAAGGCCUUCGGGUCGUAAAGCCCUUUUGCGGGGGACGAUAAUGACGGUACCCCGCGAAUAAGCCGCGGCUAACUACGUGCCAGCAGCCGCGGUAAUACGUAGGUGGCAAGCGUUGUCCGGAUUUACUGGGCGUAAAGGGCGUGCAGGCGGUUUGUUAAGUCUAGGGUGAAAGCUCCCGGCUCAACUGGGAGAGGUCCUUGGAUACUGGCAAACUUGUGGGAUGCAGAGGAAAGUGGAAUUCCCGGUGUAGUGGUGAUAUGCGUAGAUAUCGGGAGGAACACCAGUGGCGAAGGCGGCUUUCUGGGCCUUACCUGACGCUGAGACGCGAAAGCGUGGGGAGCGAACCGGAUUAGAUACCCGGGUAGUCCACGCCGUAAACUAUGGACACUAGGUGUGGGGGGUAUCGACCCCCUCCGUGCCGCAGCUAACGCAAUAAGUGUCCCGCCUGGGGAGUACGGCCGCAAGGCU
rnacentral:rRNA from 1 species